ACCUUGGUACCCAAAGUUUCCCCCUUUUUAAUGUAACUUAGUUCCAUUUAAUUUUGUGCCAGAUCAACAAAAAAUCCUCCAGUAUGUUUAUCCCUGAAAAGAAAAUGAAACAGAACACACACACGCUGCUUGUAUAAUAGAAAACAGUUGACCUGUGUUAAAUGACUCAAUGUUUUUAAGUCUGUUUUUACAUCUGUUACGCUUCCGCCGGUGGAUGGCGCUGCGGCGUCGAAGCGCAAAGACUGCUGCAGAGCGCGCGUGCACGAGACCCUGACAUAUGGACACGCGCGGCUCGUUUGUUUUGAUUUACUUCCUGUCCAGUGGAGUGAUGAGAAGAAAUCCUCAGAAACUGCUACAGUGUCCUCCCAGGAAUCCAUGGCUAAUCAUAGGCUGAAGUGUUUCAGAGACAUUCUGGACAUUUUUUCUGUUUCUGAAAGCAGGACCUCGCACUCGCCGCGCAGUACUGGCCAUUAUCUUCUAUGGAAAGUAGCUAAGGUUUGUCCAAAAAGUCGCUCGAUAUGUCGCUAGAUGAUUUAAAAAAAAAAAAAAAAAAAAGUUGCUAAAGGGGUCUGAUAAGUGGACCGAAUCUGUCCCUGUUAAAAUGAAUGAGUGAACGGCAGGAGGAGGAGGGGCUGCAGCGGGGAGUCUUAUUUUGAGUGAAAGGAUUGUAUUCGUGUUCUUUUGAAAAUAAACCCUUUAAAGUGA